rnacentral:lncRNA from 1 species
UGUCUAGAUAAUUUAAUCAACUCUCAGUGAUCUAAAUGUAAAUAAUCCACUGUCUUGCAUGUGUUACCUCUGACAAAGAUAUUAAAUGCAAGGUGAAUCUCCUUUUUAUUCUACAUGUAUUAUUCUUUUUUUUAAAUUUUAACUUUGUCUUUAAACUCUAAGUUCAAUUUUACAAAUGCACUCUCAUCCAAGGAUCAGCCUGGUGAUGAAUGAACAGUGGUGGGAAUGAGAAUUACAUAGCCAAAAAAGAAAAACUGACAAGCUGUUCCUUGAGGUCAAGUAACUCUGACAGCUUUUGUCUUAAUACAUCAGCCUAUCAAUCUUCAUCAUGAC